rnacentral:lncRNA from 1 species
AUUGGGACCAACCUGGCAAACAGGGUGAAACCCUGUCUCUACUAAAAAUACAAAAUACAAAAAAAAUCAGCCUGGCAUGGUGGCGGGCGCCUGUGGUCCCAGCUACUCUGGAGGCUGACGCAGGAGAAUGCCGUGAACCCGGGAGGCGGAGCUUGCAGAGAGCCGGAGAUCACGCCACUGCACUCCAGCCUGGGCUACAGAGCAAGACUCCGUCUCAAAAAAAACCAAAACAAAACAAAACAAAAAAAACACCCAGUUUUUCCAUGGAGUGAUAGAAUUUAAUUGAUGAGCUUGACGAGCUUAAUUACAGAAGGGAGAGCUCCAAAAUACAUGUCUGCAGCUUCACUCGUGCCUGAGCCAGCGAGAGCAGGAACCCACCAGAAGGAAGAAACUCCAAACACAUCCGAACAUCAGAAGGAACAAACUCCAGAUGCGCCACCUUAAGAGCUGUAACACUCACCACGAGGGUCCGGGGCUUCGUUCUUGAAGUCAGUGAGACCAAGAACCCACCAAUUCUGGACACAGGAGCACAGGUGUCUUUUCAAGAUUCUGAUUUCAUUUCCUUUGGAUGUAUACCCAGCAGUGGGAUUUGUGUUCAUAAGAUUAAGGUCAUUCCUCGCUCAUUGGGAACACUGAGUCAAAGAAAAUAAGUUUGCAAGAAGACAAGGAAUGACCUGUAGGCAUACUAAGCCUGCAUUUGAGACUGACAAGGAGUGAGAGAUACUGUUUUGAGUGUGUGUGAAAAUGAAGAGAAUGAAUCAUCUUUUACUGAUUAUAAUCUAUAACUUGAGUUUGCAAGUCAAAGAACUUCUGAAACAGGGGAAAUUAAACAAGGCUACAAGCACUUUUUGAAACCCAUUUAUGCCAUCAACAACAAGGAAUCUAAUUACAAUUUUGAGAUGCUCUAGGGAAAAAAAAUAACCACCACAAGCUGAAGGAUUGCAAAAGCAGGGAUACAAUAUCUGUCAAAUACAUCUGGAGACUGCUGCAUCCAGCUAGGCAUACAUGUUGCUAAAAAUCAAGCCCUGAAAUCUAACUUCAAGUUUCAAGUGGACUUUGUGGUCUCAUUCUGGUCUUCAUAUGUUACUGUCACAAAACCACCAUGGAGUUCAGCAUAAUUCAUUGCGGCUGGUGGUCUUCAAUCUGAAGAAGCCAGAAACAGGAAUAGCAAGAGUUAUGGGAUGUAGCAGCAUUUUGAUUCUCUAUAAUGUUGAUUUGGAGUCCACUCAAAAGACUUGGAGGUAUAUCAGACUUUGAAUUUACACCUUAUCGUCUCUGCCUGGCUUCAGGCAACAUCUGACUUCUAAAACAACAAAACAUGAGGAAUUAAUUCGUUUUUAAACCUAGAAAUUUUCUUUUCUGGCCAUCAGUGGAAAUAGUAUUAAAAAAAAAAGGAAAUAAUAGAAUGAAUCGCAGUGAUUACAGAGACAAAUCCUUAAAGAUUCUUUAUGCCAAGAUCCAUUUGGAAACACGUAUUCUCCAGUGUCAUAGCUUGGAAAGACUAAUGACCUUGCAUUGAUGAACUGGAAAUAGCAGAAGGCAUGGAACCCACUUGAUAGUAAAAAAAAUACUGUAUGUGUCAAUUGAUUGCAAGAUUGUUCUGGAAUGGGGAUGUUGCGAAGGAACAGUCUCCUGGAAGUCUCACUCUAUUUAGUGUUGUUUAGUGGGUUAGAUUCUUCCUGUGACCCAGGUGAAUACAGGAUCCUAGAAUUUCUGAGUUGCAAUUUCUCCUGUUUAUAAUUUUUCAAAACCUUAAGAUUUUACAGCAAACUACCUCUCAGUGAAAUAAAUGGAAACUAUCUGUUUGAUUAACUGAAGGGUUAAUCAAAUUUAAAAAUAGGAAGCAUUUUUCCAUAUACAUGCAGGAUUACACCUCAUUCCACAAUAACAUUAAUAUUCAUUACUACUGGGAGGUCUAGCCUGGCAGGACCACCCCAGAAUAGCAUAAUGGUGAAUAUGAUGAAUAAAUGCAUGGCAAGAUCCCAGAGACAUAUACAUCAGUUUUGUUUUAAGAAAAGCUGACCUGAAAGUUUAUUUAACCUCUGUUUGGUUAAGCAAUUAUUCUGAACAACUGAUCUUGUAAAAGCAUUCUUUGAAUUGUACUUAAACAUAGUUGCAAGAUGCCUUCCAGAAAUCAGAAACCUCACCACGUCUUUAGGAUACAGCUGCAAAUAAUGUUUCUUCUGGAUCUUUCUCUAUUAUUCUGAGUAAGUUACCUAUACAAUUUAACUCUUGAACUUUGGCAUAAGGAUUAUUUUGACCUGCAGGCAUUUGAGAAUCAGCACAUGCUAGAAGAGGUAUGAAAGCCUUCUUUUAUGUGUCUGAAAGUGGGGCAUAAAUUUCCCUAUCUGAAAAAUGCCCACUCCCUUCCCCUCCCAUCAGGAAGAGAACAAUUCUUAUCAUUAGAGAUGGAGAGGUGCUGUGAAGGUGAGUUUGCAUAAACACCCCUUGCUAAAAUAAAUCUUAUCCUCCAUUAGUCUUCCUAUGUGUUUCCUAGUCACUUCCCCACAAUUUAUUUUCCCUUUAAGUCCAAACCUCUUUUAUUAAAAUAGUAUACAGGCCCCCAAGUUUAACUGCCUUUUUGAGUAUUAUUUCUUUUUUGUGAAUGCUCAUGCACAUAAAUAUUAAUUUUAAAUGUGUGAUUUUUCUCCUGUGAAUCUGUCUUUUGCUAGUUUAAUUCACAGGCCCCUAGACGCUGACCUAACAGAGUAGAGAAAAAGUUUUUCCUCCAUGACACACAACAGACCCUGGUCAAUAAGAGCAUACGAAGGCUAUUGAAAGGAUGCAAGGUCUAUUUUGAAAUUUUCAGUGACACUGUCAGAGUAUUCCUUUGCAUACGCAUUUUGAAGAAGACAGAGGAAACAAGCAUUUUUGAGUGCUCACUUUUUGUCACUCACUGUGUUUCUAAAUGCACUCAAGUCUUCAAAGUAGAUCUUGUUUCUAAUUUACAAACGAAGCAAUUGAUGUUUAGAGAGGUCAAGUGACUUGCUCAAGGAUACACAGGUCUCUCUACUUAGCUCAUGCUCUUUCUACUGCACCUCACUUCCUCCUUAUGGCAAGCAUCAUAAAUGAGCAGCCGUGAUGAGUGUCCUGAAUAGGCUGGGGAGAGCUGAUUUAGGAUUCACAGUGUUUGUGAACAUAACUACAUGCACUUUUUCGUGAUGCCCUCUUCGAUCCAGGUUAUAUAUGUUGGAUGGGUGGCUUGGUUGAGUUGCAAUUAAUGUUGGGAGUGUCUAGAUUUUGACACGCAAAUGUUGGCUUAAAUUAUAAUAUGAAAGCUAAAAUAAUCCCAAAGCAAUUUAUUUAGAGUUUUCUCUUGGUUUACAUUUUGGCACUAUGGGGCCUCUGAGAAAAACACCCUAAAAUCUUCAGCCUGCUUUCAUGUAAUAGAAGCUGAAUAUCUUGUACUAGAAAUUUAUACAUCUGUUCAUUCUGUGACUCCCUAACUUCCUAGUGAAUAAUAAACUGAACUUGUUCAGGUUCCUCG